GCAUAUCAAUAAGCGGAGGAAAAGAAACCAACAGGGAUUGCCCUAGUAACGGCGAGUGAAGCGGCAACAGCUCAAAUUUGAAAUCUGGCUUCGGCCCGAGUUGUAAUUUGCAGAGGAAGCUUUAGGCGCGGCACCUUCUGAGUCCCCUGGAACGGGGCGCCAUAGAGGGUGAGAGCCCCGUAUAGUUGGAUGCCUAGCCUGUGUAAAGCUCCUUCGACGAGUCGAGUAGUUUGGGAAUGCUGCUCAAAAUGGGAGGUAAAUUUCUUCUAAAGCUAAAUACCGGCCAGAGACCGAUAGCGCACAAGUAGAGUGAUCGAAAGAUGAAAAGCACUUUGAAAAGAGGGUUAAAUAGCACGUGAAAUUGUUGAAAGGGAAGCGCUUGUGACCAGACUUGCGCCGGGCGGAUCAUCCGGUGUUCUCACCGGUGCACUCCGCCCGGCUCAGGCCAGCAUCGGUUCUCGCGGGGGGAUAAAGGUCCCGGGAACGUGGCUCCUCCGGGAGUGUUAUAGCCCGGGGCGUAAUGCCCUCGCGGGGACCGAGGUUCGCGCAUCUGCAAGGAUGCUGGCGUAAUGGUCAUCAGCGACCCGUCUUGAAACACGGACCAAGGAGUCAAGGUUUUGCGCGAGUGUUUGGGUGUAAAACCCGCACGCGUAAUGAAAGUGAACGUAGGUGAGAGCUUCGGCGCAUCAUCGACCGAUCCUGAUGUUUUCGGAUGGAUUUGAGUAGGAGCGUUAAGCCUUGGACCCGAAAGAUGGUGAACUAUGCUUGGAUAGGGUGAAGCCAGAGGAAACUCUGGUGGAGGCUCGCAGCGGUUCUGACGUGCAAAUCGAUCGUCAAAUCUGAGCAUGGGGGGCGAAAGACUAAUCGAACCAUCUAGUAGCUGGUUACCGCCG
rnacentral:rRNA from 1 species